rnacentral:lncRNA from 1 species
GGUCUGCUGCCCCAAUUUAAGCAUAAACUUUCUAUCAGACAAAUGGCAGUAUUGCGAAUUUAACUCGAAACAGAGGGUGUCUUCCUAAUUCAAAAAUUGACGAAAGUGUGGACAUUAAAAUUAACGAAUUGAUUCACGCUAGAUCAAAAUGUGACGAAAUUACCAACUCCGUAAUCAAUGAUGUAGUUGCGAGGUGAGUGAUCCACAAAAUCUUUUUUUGAAUCGAUUGACCGUGCAAUCUGUGUUAAAUGGACAAAAUGAUUUACGGCCGGUACUUUAUUUACAUAUUUUUACAUAAAUUACUCCUUUUUGGUAAGUCCGAUCGGAAAAGAUUGGCAAACGGGGACAUAAAAAUGUAAUGUUUGUUGUAUGUGAGCAGGCAGGAUUAAAUUUCCUUCCGUUGCCUCUGUUCUCACAAAAUAAUUAACAGAUAUUUUCUUAUGGGGACAAAAUAGUACCCCAUCGCGCACACAGUUUUCAAUAGCUGUCAAUCCUACAGAGUGAAACCUACCUUCGUUUGGAUAUUGUUCCGUUUUGCUCCUCAUUUCUUCUUUUUAAUGUAAAAAACGACUUGUAAGUCCGAUUAGGAAAGAUCGGCAUGGCAAAGAAAUCAUGUCAUUAUUGAGUUUUUUUGGACUGGCGAGUACAACUCACACUGGUGUUUGGUGUUUACUAAAGUAGCGUUCCCUUAUUGUAUGAAGGCGGUAUAUAUUGGUCUGCGUUGACGUUUCAUCAUUGCAAGGUUAGAAGCACUGUAUGGGGACAGAGCAGAUUCAUUGAAAUUAUCAAGCUUUGGGUAAAAAUCACGAGCGAGUUGAGUCACCCGACAAAUUUCAUAAAAAUCAGAGCGACUCGAUCACUCGGCAAUCUCCCACAAAUAUCACAAAGCGGAAUCGCCCCGUCAAAUGACCGAUUCACGUUGGAAUUCUCGACAAACUUCACGGAAUGAUUGAUAUAGGAUGUUCCGAAUAAAUUCGCGAAGGAUUAUUACUAUUCGUUAGAAUUACAAGCACGAGGAGAUUCGCUACUCCUCCAUAUCUCCACUUGGCAAUCUGGGAUUCAAUUCUUGCGUCAAAUGUCACGAAAUUUUUUAAGAAAUUACCAACUCCGCAAUCAAUGGUAAAGUUGCGAGGUGAGUGAUCCACAAAAUCCUUUGCUAAAUCGAUUGACCGUGCAAUCUGUGUUAAACUGACGAAAUGAUUUACGGCCGGUACUUCAUUUACAUAUUUUUAAUGUUUAAAUAAAUUACGCCUUUUUUGGUAAGUCCGAUCGGAAAAGAUUGGCAAACGGGGACAUAAAAUGUAUUGUUUUGUUGUAUAUGAACCGUGUCGAGGCAGGAUUAAAUUUGCUUUCGUUGCCUCCGUUCACAAAAUAAUUCACCGACAUGAGGAGAAAAUAAUACCCUAUUCGGACACCGUUUUUGAAGUCUCGUAACUGUUUCGGCAUAAUUUCAACAGCUGUCAAACCUACCUUCGUAUGGAUAUUGUUCUGUUUUGUUUCUCAUUCUUGUCAAAUGUAACUCAUAAAAAAACAAUUUGUAAGUCCGAUCAGAAAAGGUCGGCAUGGCAAAGAAAUCAUGUCAUCAUUAUUAAUUGAUACUUUGUAAGGACUAUAGUGUGUUUAGCUUACUGAUGUCUUGUUGUUUACCUUUAAGCAGCGUUUCCUUGUUGUAUGAAACUAUACGCUGUAGUAUUGUGUUGACGUGUUUUAUCUGUGAAGAUUAAGAGCACGGUGCGAGGACAGAACAGAUCAAUUGCAAAUUACAUUUUUUGGGAGUAAUUUAAACUAAGAGCGAGUGGAGUCGACUGUCAAACGCCAAGAAAAUAAAGCCGGUUAAAUCGGCCGUUUUCGAAUCGGGUACAAAUGUGACACAAUCAUGCCUUUUUUGUAAGUCCGAUUUGCAAGAUUGGCAAAAACGUAAAGGUGUUGGUUUUUUUUUGUAGUUCGAACCAUGUUGAGGCUGGAUUAAUUGUUUUCAUUGCCUCUUCACAAACGAUUCAUAGACUUCUUUUUAGAAGGAAAUCAUAGUCCUGUACGGACGUACAAUGUUUCUUCUCCUGUAACCAUCUUCGUAUAUUCCAACAUGAAUUGGUGUCAGAGUUUCUACGAUGAAAGUUACCUUCGCAAAAAUGGGGGCGCCCCAUAGAAGGACCGUUAUUUGCUUGUCGUUUCUUCUCGAAAUGUAAAUUUUUUGAAUCGUAACAGUAUUGUUCUCGUCAAAAUGUACAUAAAAGGCGAGUUGUAAGUCCGACCAACACAUGUCGGCGCGAGUUAACUUGAACUUCAUAUAUGUGUAAACUUUACCUUUUAACGUGUUUCUGUAAGGAUAGUGUGUGUAUCUUAUUAUGGGGCGCACUAAGGAAGAACUCCUGUUUUGCUUCUCGUAUAUUUCCAAAUGCAAAACUUGAAAUCGUAACAAUAUUUGUCCAUGUCAAAAUAAAUAUAAAACUAACUUGUAAGUCCGACUAGGAAUGGUCGGCACCGGGGUUAAAAAACACAGUUUUCUAUUUCAUAUAUCGUAUCUGUAUUUAGCGUGUUUAUAUAAGGACUACACCUAUAGUGUGUAUAAGUUUCUAUUGGUGUUUUGGUAUUUACCUAAAAACAUCGUUUCUUUAUUGCAUGAGCGCGGUAUACGCGUUCCUUUUGGUUUGUGUUGACGAGCUCAUUAGUCCAAGGUUAAAAGCACUGUUAAUGUAUGAGGACAACAGAUUCAUUCAAAUUGUUGGCCACAAUCGCGAAUGUGAAUAUUGUACAUGUAAUAACAUUUUUCUCCCAUGACAUUUUGACUACAGGUCAACUUGCUUAAUAUUAUUUUGUGUAAGUCCGAUCAAUCAAGGUCGGCAUGCAAUUGCCAAAACAUGUUCUGUUAUUACUAUCCCUUUAAUUUUCAAGGCGCGCAUCUUUUGCGCACUGCAAAAUAACAGGCAGGUAAUUGGAAGAUAUAGUUCCACUUUGUCGCUGGAGUGCUGCAUCUUUUCUCGUGAAUGAGAAAAAUGUGAAGAAAAAAGGUAAAUUGUGUGUAAGUUGUAAUAAUUUGUUUUCAUUUAGCUUGGCCUAAGAACAAUAAAUAGUCAGGCCUAUUGUAAGGUGACGAAAGACCAAAUGACGUGACUUGGAAUUGACUCGACGACUUGUGAUACAUGUAGUUGGAAUAAAUACUAACCUUGCCCAGCAAAGGCCGAGUUUUUUGUCUUCAACAGCACGAGAUUUAGACAGUGUUUCGGGAGUGGCGUAACCAUCCUAAGACGAGCUGGAUGAGGAGGAGGCUGCAGCAUCCCACUGAGAUGACGAAUGAGAAUGCAAGCCAGGAGGGAGACUGAACGAUGACCUCACUGGAUGAGCUUUGUAUGCCGUUCCUACAUGGAAGCCAGUCAACUAAAACAGUGAUGGGAUACAUCUCCAAGUUUGUGGGAUCAUCCGCUCUACAUUGCGAUGGCUUCAUGUCCCGGAAUUCCCCAAUCGCCAUAAUGAUGCGUGGAGGUAACUUCUGGAAUCUGGAACGGCCUUUCACGACCAACUUUGAGUGACGACGAGAACUCAGCUGACACCGACCCUGUUCUGAUGGCUAUCUUCCUAACCAUAUCGCAGGCUGGCUCAGUAUAAAUUGUCAUAGGAUUCACCAAAUAUUUGUUGUGUGUUCAGAGAAAAAAAACAAUUACCAUGCAAAAAAUAAAUUACAUAUGUAAUUAAAAGCUUCUCAUUUGUGUACAGUUCUAAAAGUAUAUCAAUAAUGUAGACAAAGUGGCCUAUAAUCCUAGGAUUUUCCAUAAUAACCAGCAUAAUCUUAUAGACCAAUCCUGGCACGCUAUAAAUUCUAUCACAGAGGCCCCCAUCAAUGGCAAAAGCAUUUUGGUAGCUAUUGUUUCUCCAUUGAAGGGGGCCUCGUGAAUGUAAAGUGUUCACGUGCCCGGAUUCAUCAAGAAUGACCUAUAUAGAAAACCCUCGUAGCAUUGUUGAGAAAAUUUAACUAAAAUCCAACAUGUCAGACAAAUGUAUUGACAAAAGUGUUCCGUGUUCAUAAACUUUCAAGAUGUCAAAAUAGUUGGGGCUAUUGAAUCAUGAAUUUACUCUUUACCGAUCCAGUAAAUUGAAGAUAUAAGGAAAUGGUUCAGGUUCACUGUAAAAUAGCAUGGAGUUGGUAAGCAGAAAAUAUAUAUGCGCUUAGCAAAAUCAGGUGAAAGCCACUCAGCAGGAUUUAUGUUCCUGACCAAUGUAAAAUUCUUUGAGAAAAAACGUGCAUGAUACUGUUCGUUAAAGUAACACAGAGUUCAGUGUUUUAUCUGAAAAGGACAAAUUUAUCCUUCUCAUGUCAUCUCAUGUCAUCUUUUCUGUCUGCUACGUUAAAAGAAAUUAAUGUCAUAUUAGUUUAAAUUGAAUGUGCUCUUAGCUAACUAUUUGAACUUCAUUUGUAUUAUUUAAACCUUUUGAUGUAACCCUCCGCAGGGUAAUGGGGUGUGUUCUUUUUUGGAAUAAAACAAGAGAUAAUAAUUAAACUGGCGAUUUUUUUUUUAGAAUUAAGCGUUAACGUAUAAUUUUCUUUCGUGUACGUACAAUUUCCAAGUACCUCUACGAUAAAAUGUGGUCGUACACCUAUCUCAUGAAAAGUUUAAUGCAUCCAGUUGCACGCAAAGUACCGUGUACAUGCGGUACAGGGCAAUUGUCUUUGGUUGCAUACCUAUGUUCCCCAAUACCUAUGUUCCCUAACCCUAACCAUCUAAUCCUAACCCUAAGAAUUUUGGGGUGCACAGGUAUUGGGGAACAUCGGGUAAACCCCGUUUUCUUUUGAUGUAUGACCACAAAAUUAUCUUGUAUGUACAUAUUUUGAUCUUGUAUAUACACCAUACUUAACGUGUAUCCAUGUAAACAAGAUAAUGACGUACUUGGAAAUUGGAACAACAUGUUAUUCAAGGUAUAUACGGUAGCAUUGUGUAUAUUAACGAUAGAUAAAAGUGCCCCCCAAAAGUGAAAAAAAUCCAGGUCUCGUUCAAAAUAUUUAAAAGAACAUAAAGCAAAAAUGCAAAUGUACUCUGUGUUUAAUGUAAAAAAAAACACCCAGAUUUUCAAAUACUGAGUCAUGGGCCUUAUUCACGAGUCGGCCAUAUUUAAUUGAAAGUUGGGUAAAAUUUUAAAAUGUUGAACUUGCGUAGAGAAAUGAAGGCAAAUUAGUUUAUAAUAAAUUCCAGUCUGCUUCAAUGAAUGAUUUAAAAUUUGUAAUUAAACAUUCCCUAAUGUUGAAGCCAUGUUAACAAAAAUGACAGUGAAAUAAGGCUGCAUUGUGCCUGCAUAAAUAGUCUGGCGCCAUCGCAUUCAACAGUUAACAAUUAAUGAAAUGCAUUCAGGGAGCUUGGCCAACUCGUAAGUGAGGCCCAUAGGUAAGCCUAUAGCUAAGGUUUAUGAGCAUGUACUUACAAACACAUAGACUUGUAUAUUUUUCAUUACCUUUUAUAUGUAGACAUUUGCUCAAAAUUAUUUAAAAUCGUUUAAUGUUUACUUUAAUUGCUGAUAAUUGCAUUACGUGAAUAGUUGAAGAAAGAUGAAUAUUAAACAACAAAGAGACUAUGAAA